CUUUAUCUUGGUAAUUUCUGGCCCAGAGAAAUGAAUGCCCAGCAUCAAGUGUCGUGACCUCUCCAGUUUUCUGCAUUCAGCUUGUUUGACAUUGUUCAACAGCUCUGCUGUGGGCCUAGAGUACAUCAACAAGUAGAUGAAAAAUGUCCUUCUUGUGUCAUGAAUGCCAAGGGCUCCCUUGCCUGCCCUCCAUCCUCCAGAAGCCUUUGGUCGCGAAUUAAUCCUGGAAUCAAAACAGAUUUUCCGAGGAGCAAUCUUCCAUCAAGUAUUGAUUUUUUUACACUCACGGAGUCUGUACUCCCUAAUUUAACCUGACAAUGAUUCUGCACAAUGGCCUGGGAGCACCUUGGCAGCUCACUGAAGGAACUUUUACUGUCUUUUCUUUCUGCAAAGUGGAAGGGAAAAAAAC
rnacentral:lncRNA from 1 species